CAUAGAUCAAGUGUACACUUCAGAUGCACUGUCAGAGUGCGCUGAACUUUGGAUGUACUGUGUGAUUUUAUUGCGUGCAAGCCAGAAUGAUUUUAAGAGCCAGAUCCCCAUCUCACAUAAAUUGGCAUGAUGCUAUAAAUUGUUUGAUAGUUUAAUACUUUGAAAUUGCCUUCUUUAUAUUACUGAGAAAGGACAGAGUCACAUUCAUGCAGAACCUGAUUCUGUUCUUCAGUUCAUUGCUGUUAACCGGGACAAGCUCCAUUUUUACCCGGGUAUUUUGAGUCUGGUGUGGGACUGGAUUUCAGCUCAUUCUGGAGUAGGCUGGAGAAACGGAUCAGCAACCUUCUUUGAAUCUAAUUCAAGGGAAAGAAAAAGCAAAACUGCUCCCCCAAUAACGAGUGACAGAAGCAAGAGCUUCUGAGCUCUUUUGUUUUGCAAAACACAAGCAUGGCUUGAGGCCUGCAGAAGAUCCCCAGGCUUACGCUGUCUGGUAGCUGCAGCACCUUAUCCAGCCUGAUUGUUCAUGUGUCCCUAUGUUUCCACCUGCCAGCCUGAGGGAACCUAUUUUUGACAACGCUUAUAUUGAAUAUGGUGCGUGUGACAUCUCCGUGUGAGCUCAUGAGGUCCUCAGACACCACAGUGCCUUGGAAGACUCUGUCUCAGAAGGGUGGGCCACAUACAAGGAAUCACUGAAAGAGUAUCUCUUGCUGCAUUUUCAGAUCUGCAAGUGCCAGUCUGCUGAGAAGAGAAUGGGAAAUGUAGGUAUGAAAGGCGAAAACUGUGCAAAGCAUCAUAGGUAUUUUGAAUAUUUUUUAAAUCACCCAGUGUCUCACAUGACCACCUCAAGGACUAGAAUAUUUCCCUUUAUGUCUAAAUUAUUCACAAAAUAUGUUACAUACACAUGUUCCAUGUUUUGAUACCACCCUGACAGCUGAGGAUUUGACUGGUGCUGGCUUCAAGGAGAAAGAUUUAUGAAUCAUGGACAAUGAUGCUGGAGUAUGAUUUUGCAAUAGUAACCGGAGUAAAAUUAAUAACAGAAAUAAUAAUAAUAGGAAAACAUUUAAAAUCAUCUGACUACUCAGAAGACAUCAAAACACACUGGGAAGAUGAUAAAAAACUAUUCACCACAAGAAAACUCUACCCAGGAAUCUCUAAAGAAGCUGCUUGAUAUCGUCCCAAUCCAAGAGGGCAGGAUUUGUCCUUCCCCAGAGCUCGCAGUGGUUUGCUUCCAAGAUACCGAGAUUGCCUAGAUAAACUUUGGACUCCCUUCUUGUUAUAAACAUAUUAGUAGCUCUCGCUCCAAGGUCACGUUCAGGAGUGUGGAGGGUUCCCAUGCUAAAGGGAACGAUGAAGCGCGCACCCGUUUCCCAAGGCACUCGCAGAGACGGUGCGUGUCGCGUAGGGGCUCUGCACCCGACCACGCGAGACCCUCUCCCUUCUACCUGCUUCCACCCCCAGACUCCUCCGACGAUUGCGGGGAUAGCACCUGGAGGAAGGACUCCCUCCAUAUCUCGUAAAGGUCAUUGCGUACACGCGGAAAAGAGUGAAGUUUUGCCUUUUCCUCCGCCUCAGAUGUCGCAGCAGCUGCUUUGAGGCUGUUCUAUCCUCCGAAGGAACAUUCUGUCUCAGCAAGCGAAGAAAGGAAAAGAGAGAUCCUACACCAUUAUAAUUACUUGAGCAAAAAUAAACACACAUAUGGCGUGACAUUUUCCUAAUGUUCGGAUCUUAUUUGGAAGUAAAUGUAUUAAUUAAAGGGGGAGUAGAGAGGGGAAAAACAAACAACAAUCCCUGAGUCAUGAGAACAUGACAAGCUGUCCUUUGAAAAUGUUAUUUUUAUUUUUCAGUGACACUGGUGUUAAUUUAUUAGGUGUUAUAGUGUGUGCUUACUUAUUUGUUGUUACAGGGCAAUGAUUUUCUUCCUCAUCUGCUUUUUUUUUAUGUUUCGGUUUUUGUUUAUUUUUUCUGUACACUGCUGAGCUAAGAAGAAAGUUCACCCCAGCUAAAGGGCCAAAUCAACAUCUUUUUGUCCUUGAUGCUCUCAAAAGCUGAUAUUAAACUUUCCCUGCUCUCGUAAAAGAUGCGAUCCAGCUGCAGGGGGAAGGGUGGAUGGUUUGAAAUUCUCUUUGAUGCUCUUUGCUGGUGAAAUUCUCUUUUUCUUUAAGCCAUGCUGCCCUUGUGCUUCGGCCUGUAACUAAAACAUCUUUGACAAUUGCCUUCCAAAAUUAUCAGUAGAUACUCAGAGGGCAGUUUAGAAAUGGCCAUUCCAACAGAUAUUCGCCGCAUUGACACUACAGCAACACUUAACGGCACCGUUAACAGAAACAAACCUUCACAAAUUGGAAAAGCAUUUCUCCUUAUGUAAAGCACAUGGAAAAAAAUAGAUUAAAAUCCCCAGCCUCCUCCCAGCAGAGCACUGUAAAUAAACUCAGAGAUGGAUUGGCGAGGUGCUCCAGGAGGUCCCUGGGGUUCUCUUCUUGCUACUGGUUUUUACGUGAUCAUCUUUCUAGUCCCGCAGAAUUGGGAAGCCAUAUGCCAACCCAGGGAAAAUACAGAGCUUUUACCAUCUGAUUUAUUUAUCACGGUUACUUUUAUACUUUGCAGGGUCUUGUAAUUGUUUUCAUAACUACAGGUCCACAAUAUUAAAAUUAAAACCUUUUGAAAGAGCACAAUAAUUGCUUUUCUUUGCGGGGGGCAGGGGGGGGGGCACCUUUCUGCUUUCCUCUGUGAAAUUUUUCCUUACGGAAACAUUUUAAUUCUCCAGAAAUUUAAAGCAGUCCAAUUUUAUAUUUUCCAUUUUGUACUUUGCCCCUCUAAUUCUACCCCCUUCUUCUCUCUUUUCUCAGAAGAAAAAUAAACAAACAAACAAACAAACCUAUAGAUGCUCUAGGAAAAAAUGAAAUGCUGAAAAGAUUUUAUUGUUCUUUAUUUAAAUAUGAAACCCUAUUAGCAAAUAAUUAUUCUUUUCUACAAAAGUUUCCCUUCAGCAAAAUGCAGCUUUCAGUUGGAAAAGGUUUUAAAUGCAAGCUUAGUCAGGUCUUGAAAAAAACCCAACAUUUCACUAUAAAGAGAACGUUUGUUUUAUUUCCAUUCUGUUGUAAUUUCAGAAAAUGUACUAACAAAAAGGUAGCAAGUGAAGUAAGUCAUGAUAUAUUUCAAUCAAUCAUAUAUUAUAAUAAAAAUUCUGGA